rnacentral:rRNA from 1 species
UGGGGAAUCUUCCGCAAUGGACGAAAGUCUGACGGAGCAACGCCGCGUGAGUGAAGACGGCCUUCGGGUUGUAAAGCUCUGUGAUUCGGGACGAAAGGCCAUAUGUGAAUAAUAUAUGGAAAUGACGGUACCGAAAAAGCAAGCCACGGCUAACUACGUGCCAGCAGCCGCGGUAAUACGUAGGUGGCAAGCGUUGUCCGGAAUUAUUGGGCGUAAAGCGCGCGCAGGCGGUCACUUAAGUCCAUCUUAGAAGUGCGGGGCUUAACCCCGUGAUGGGAUGGAAACUGGGAGACUGGAGUAUCGGAGAGGAAAGUGGAAUUCCUAGUGUAGCGGUGAAAUGCGUAGAUAUUAGGAAGAACACCGGUGGCGAAGGCGGCCUUCUGGGCCACGACUGACGCUGAGGCGCGAAAGCUAGGGGAGCGAACAGG